ensembl:snRNA U2 U2 spliceosomal RNA
AUCACUCCUUGGCCUGUUGGCUAAGAUCAAGCAUAGUAUCUGAUCUGUUCUCCAAUCAAGGACAAUAUGUUAAAUGGAUUUUUGUAUCUGGGAGAUGGAAUAGGAACUUGUUCUUUCCACUCCACAGAAUGACUUGGUAUUGCAAUAUCUCUAGGAACAGUGCAUCCCUU